rnacentral:rRNA from 1 species
AAUAGAGCAAAAUGACUCUCGGCAACGGAUAUCUCGGCUCUUGCAUCGAUGAAGAACGUAGCAAAAUGCGAUACGUGGUGUGAAUUGCAGAAUUCUGUGAACCAUCGAGUUUUUGAACGCAAGUUGCGCCCAAUGUCAUUUGGCUGAGGGCACGUCUGCCUGGGCGUCACGC